GACGAACGCUGGCGGCGUGCUUAACACAUGCAAGUCGAACGAUGAAGCUAGAGCUUGCUCUGGUGAAUUAGUGGCGAACGGGUGAGUAACACGUGAGUAACCUGCCCCGAACUCUGGGAUAACUGCUGGAAACGGUAGCUAAUACUGGAUACGACCUACGAAGGCAUCUUCUGUAGGUGGAAAGAAUUUCGGUUCGGGAUGGACUCGCGGCCUAUCAGCUUGUUGGUGAGGUAAUGGCUCACCAAGGCGACGACGGGUAGCCGGCCUGAGAGGGUGACCGGCCACACUGGGACUGAGACACGGCCCAGACUCCUACGGGAGGCAGCAGUGGGGAAUAUUGCACAAUGGGCGCAGGCCUGAUGCAGCAACGCCGCGUGAGGGAUGACGGCCUUCGGGUUGUAAACCUCUUUUAGUAGGGAAGAAGCGAAAGUGACGGUACCUAAAGAAGAAGCACCGGCUAACUACGUGCCAGCAGCCGCCGUAA
rnacentral:rRNA from 1 species